rnacentral:rRNA from 1 species
AAUGAACGCUGGCGGCGCGCCUAAUACAUGCAAGUCGAGCGAGAAGACGUAGCAAUACGUUUGUAAAGCGGCGAACGGGUGAGGAAUACAUGGGUAACCUACCCUCGAGUGGGGAAUAACUAGCCGAAAGGUUAGCUAAUACCGCGUACGCUUCUUGGACUUCGGUUCAGGGAGGAAAGCGAUACCGUGGGUAUCGCGCUCUUGGAUGGGCUCAUGUCCUAUCAGCUUGUUGGUGAGGUAACGGCUCACCAAGGCUUCGACGGGUAGCUGGUCUGAGAGGACGAUCAGCCACACUGGCACUGCGACACGGGCCAGACUCCUACGGGAGGCAGCAGUAAGGAAUAUUGCGCAAUGGGCGAAAGCCUGACGCAGCGACGCCGCGUGGGGGAUGAAGGUCUUCGGAUUGUAAACCCCUUUCGGG